rnacentral:rRNA from 1 species
AGAGUUUGAUUCUGGCUCAGGAUGAACGCUAGCGACAGGCUUAACACAUGCAAGUCGAGGGGCAGCGGGGAGUAGCAAUACUUCGCCGGCGACCGGCGCACGGGUGAGUAACACGUGUGCAACCAACCCCGUACCGGGAGAUAACCCGCGGAAACGUGGACUAACAUCCCAUAACACUGUAUCAUCGCAUGGUGAUGCAUUUAAAAUUCCGGUGGUACGGGACGGGCACGCGCGACAUUAGGUAGUUGGCGGGGUAACGGCCCACCAAGCCGACGAUGUCUAGGGGUUCUGAGAGGAAGGUCCCCCACACUGGAACUGAGACACGGUCCAG